GGAGUGCUACCGGGCGACCGGAUGCGGAUCUCGAAAGCCUGUCCCAGUUCGGACUGGAGUCCGCAACCCGACUCCACGAAGUUGGAUUCGCUAGUAAUCGCGCAUCAGCCAUGGCGCGGUGAAUACGUUCCCGGGCCUUGUACACACCGCCCGUCAAGCCAUGGGAGCCGGGGGCGCCUGAAGUCCGGGACCGCGAGGACCGGCCUAGGGCGAAACUGGUAACUGGGGCUAAGUCGUAACAAGGUACC
rnacentral:rRNA from 1 species